rnacentral:rRNA from 1 species
UACGAGGGGAGCAAGCGUUGUUCGGAAUCAUUGGGCGUAAAGGGCGCGUAGGCGGCCAGACAAGUCUGGGGUGAAAUCCCUCGGCUCAACCGAGGAAUGGCCUUAGAAACUGUAUGGCUGGAGUACUGGAGAGGAAAGCGGAAUUCCCAGUGUAGCGGUGAAAUGCGUAGAUAUUGGGAGGAACACCGGUGGCGAAGGCGGCUUUCUGGACAGUCACUGACGCUGAAGCGCGAGAGCUAGGGGAGCAAACGGG